UACGUAGGGUGCAAGCGUUAAUCGGAAUUACUGGGCGUAAAGCGUGCGCAGGCGGUUUUGUAAGUCUGACGUGAAAGCCCCGGGCUCAACCUGGGAAUUGCGAUGGAGACUGCAAGGCUUGAAUCUGGCAGAGGGGGGUAGAAUUCCACGUGUAGCAGUGAAAUGCGUAGAGAUGUGGAGGAACACCGAUGGCGAAGGCAGUCCCCUGGGUCAAGAUUGACGCUCAUGCACGAAAGCGUGGGGAGCAAACAGG
rnacentral:rRNA from 1 species